rnacentral:rRNA from 1 species
GAUCCUGGCUCAGGAUGAACGCUAGCUACAGGCUUAACACAUGCAAGUCGAGGGGCAGCGGGAUUGAAGCUUGCUUCAAUUGCCGGCGACUGGCGCACGGGUGAGUAACGCGUAUCCAACCUUCCGUACACUCAGGGAUAGCCUUUCGAAGAAAGAUUAAUACCUGAUGGUAUCUUAAGCACACAUGUAAUUAAGAAUUAAAAGAAUUUAUUCGGUGUACGAUGGGGAGUGCGGUUCCCUACUUAGG